rnacentral:rRNA from 1 species
CCUACGGGUGGCUGCAGUAGGGAAUAUUGCUCAAUGGGGGAAACCCUGAAGCAGCAACGCCGCGUGGAGGAUGAAGGUUUUCGGAUUGUAAACUCCUUUUUUUAGAGAAGAUAAUGACGGUAUCUAACGAAUAAGCACCGGCUAACUCCGUGCCAGCAGCCGCGGUAAUACGGAGGAUGCAAGCGUUACUCGGAUUCACUGGGCGUAAAGAGCGCGUAGGCGGUCUAGCAAGUCAGAUGUGAAAUCCUGAGGCUUAACCAUAGAAUUGCAUUUGAAACUGUUAGGCUAGAGAAUAGUUGAGGUAGGCGGAAUGCUUGGUGUAGCGGUAAAAUGCGUAGAGAUCAUGAAGAAUACUGAUUGCGAAGGCAGCUUGCCAGGCUACUUCUGACGUUGAGGCACGAAAGCGUGGGGAGCAAACAGGAUUAGAUACCCUUGUAGUC